AAGCGGCCGCAAAGCACAUGCAAGGAUGUUGCAACGCGCGCACACACAGCAUUUUUUUUCCUGCAAGGGGUGUUGUGCGGGAAGGGCCAUUUUGCUCGCUCGGCGGGAGGGCCGGAGAAGGCAGGAGAGCCAGACUCGUCCGCCGCCACCUUUACCCCCCCCCAACUUAUAGGGAGAGACUUGUGUUUUGGUCUGGCGGCUACUCCCAAGGCUGUGUAACUUGUCUACGCUGCUGCAAACAGAUCCGGGAGAAGACAUGGCAGCCGUGUCUCAAAAGAAGACCAGCAAAAGAGGUGGGGGGUGUUGUUUCUCAUAAAUGAGAAAAACAAAAGCCCCCCCCCCCAAAAAAAAGCAGUGAGCAAAAAGUCAACCCAAGGGAAGCCCUCCUGCUUCAAAGAGCUCUCCUCUCAGAUCCAGAAGCUGGUGUUUUUUUUUUAAAAUCAUCCGGACAGCUGAACAUCCUUCCCCUGCCCAGGAGGCAUGCAAGUCACCGACUGUAUUGGCCCCAACCUCUUGGGACUCCAUCCACCCUUUUGAGCCACCAGCUUCCUUUCACACUCGAUGGCUAGAAUCAGCGGCACCCUCCUCCUCCCUGAUCUCCAGGGUCUGUCCUGCACAAACCCCCACCCACGGCCGCCCUGGAGGCUUGGGCUCCCAAGCGCCCAUGCCUGGCCUCCAGAUGCAGAAACCAGAAAGUAAAGAGGUUGGAUCUCUCCUCUCACCAGCAGUACUAUAUUCCCCAUCCAUGCCCACAAUGGCUUCAUUAUCAUUUCUUGCAGAUUUUAUCCUUUUUGUCAACCACCGAGAAUCGAGCCUUGCCCUAAUAGGGUGUUACAGAAAUCUAUGAAAUAAAUAAAAACUGCAGGCAUUGA